rnacentral:rRNA from 1 species
AACGAACGCUGGCGGCGCGUCUUAAGCAUGCAAGUCGAACGGCAAGAGAGGAGCUUGCUUCUCUCCUAGAGUGGCGGACUGUGAGGAACGCGUGGGUAAUCUACCCUAAGAUGGGGAUAGCCGCUAGAAAUAGCGGGUAAUACCGAAUAGACUUAUAGCUGAGAAAGAAGUGAUAAGGAAAGGAAGCUAAGGCUUCGCUUAAGGAUGAGCCUGCGUCCCAUUAGCUAGUUGGUAAGGUAACGGCCUACCAAGGCGACGAUGGGUAUCCGGCCUGAGAGGGUGAACGGACACAUUGGGACUGAGAUACGGCCCAAACUCCUACGGGAGGCAGCAGCUAAGAAUAUUCCGCAAUGGACGGAAGUCUGACGGAGCGACGCCGCGUGGAUGAAGAAGGCUGAAAAGUUGUAAAUUCUUUUGCUGACGAGGAAUAAAGAUAAGAGGGAAUGCUUAUCAGAUGACGGUAGUCGGCGAAUAAGCCCCG